rnacentral:rRNA from 1 species
GACGAACGCUGGCGGCGUGCCUAAUACAUGCAAGUAGAACGCUGAAGAGAGGAGCUUGCUCUUCUUGGAUGAGUUGCGAACGGGUGAGUAACGCGUAGGUAACCUGCCUUGUAGCGGGGGAUAACUAUUGGAAACGAUAGCUAAUACCGCAUAACAAUGGAUGACCCAUGUCAUUUAUUUGAAAGGGGCAAAUGCUCCACUACAAGAUGGACCUGCGUUGUAUUAGCCAGUAGGUGAGGUAACGGCUCACCUAGGCGACGAUACAUAGCCGACCUGAGAGGGUGAUCGGCCACACUGGGACUGAGACACGGCCCAGACUCCUACGGGAGGCAGCAGUAGGGAAUCUUCGGCAAUGGGGGCAACCCUGACCGAGCAACGCCGCGUGAGUGAAGAAGGUUUUCGGAUCGUAAAGCUCUGUUGUAAGUCAAGAACGAGUGUGAGAGUGGAAAGUUCACACUGUGACGGUAGCUUACCAGAAAGGGACGGCUAACUACGUG